rnacentral:lncRNA from 1 species
GUAUGCCUGUAAGCGGUCAUCGUAAAACAUUAUCAGGUAGUUCAUUUGUUGCUAUUAGGCCUCCUACUGCUCAUGCUAUGUCUUCUCAGAGAAAGCAAAUGCCAUUACCAUCGAGUGUCCGGUCUUGUGAACAAAAGCUUGCAGAACCUGUCCCAGGUAGUUCUUCAUUUGUUGCUAUAAGGCCUCCUACUGCUCAUGGUAUGUCUUCUCAGAGAAAGCAAAUGCCAUUAUCACCGAGUGUUCGGUCUUGUGAACAAAAGCUUGCAGAACCUGUCCAGCAAUUCCAAUCAGAAUUUGUGAAGACCCAGGAUUUACAAACUACUCGGUGGCCCAAAAAACAUGGUAAGCAGAAACAACGUCUUAGGAAGGAGACGCCACCUCGCAGACGCAAUUCCGAACUAAAUAUUGGCAAAUACAUGGACCUUGAU